rnacentral:tRNA from 1 species
GGCGGGGUAGCUCAAUUGGUUAGAGCGCGGGACUCAUAAGCCCGAGGUCGGCAGUUCGAUUCUGCCCCCCGCUACCA